rnacentral:misc_RNA from 1 species
GAAAUGCGAUAAGUAAUGUGAAUUGCAGAAUUCAGUGAAUCAUCGAAUCUUUGAACGCACAUUGCGCCCCUUGGUAUUCCGGGGGGCAUGCCUGUUCGAGCGUCAUUACACCACUCCAGCCCGGCUGGGUAUUGGGCGCCGCGGCGAUCGCCGCGCGCCUCAAACGCCGUCCGGCCCGGCCGUCCGUCCCCGAGCGUUGCGGUACUUUGUUCAGUCGCUCGGUGGGUAUGGGCGGCGGCGCGCCGUAAAACCUCCUUUCAGGUUGACCUCGGAUCAGGUAGGGAUACCCGCUGAACUUAA